rnacentral:misc_RNA from 1 species
GCGAGUAUACAACUCUCUAAAACCAUUGUGAACAUACGAACCUGUUGCUUCGGCGGAUCAGCCGCUCCGGUAAACGGCGGCCGCCGAGAGAACGCAAACUCUUGUUAUUAUAUGUUACUUCUGAGUACUUAAUCCAUAAAUAAAUCA